ACUGCACCUGCUGAAAGGCCAAGAGUGGUUUUAGUUCCUCCAAAGGAGGUGUGACACUGACACGUUGCUCCAGGCAGUGAUUCAACCCCUGGGUUAAUCAUUGACUCCUCCCUUCUCUCUUCCUCGCACGUCUGAGCUCACUUUUAUUCCUGCCAGGACAGAACCUCUGCUUGCUUCCCACGGAUAUAUUUCUGUCAGACCAGACGGCAGAUGCAGCGUUCAAGGACUUCAGAAUCUUUGAUGUAAUUGCUUAAAGAGUAACAUCAAAGCACAUGGGCAGCUCUGCCUGAAAGCGAGAACGUCUGGGCCGUGCUGCGUCACUCUGUGGGCAAAGGCCAGUCACGCUGGGACCGAGCCCCAGUCUGAGCCCCAGAUUCUCUUGGUGAAAUCGCUCCUCAGGCUGGAGGACGUCUGGAGGGGGAGACCCCACCCCAGGGAGCCUACCCCAGGCAAGCGGGGCCCCUGGGAACUCGGAGAGCCAGAGCCAGCCCCUUUUGGAAGGCUGCAGGGGAAGCAUGACUGAGGUGGAGCCUGUGCUGGACUUCGCAUCCUCUGGGAGGACUGGCCGCAGGAACGCCCUCCCUGACAUCUUGGGCUCGCCGGCCGGCGUCAUCCCCUCUGACCUGCCUCUGAAAUUAGCUGAAAUGUCUCUAAGCUCAGACAGAUCCCAAGAAAUGCAGUCCCCCUCCACAGAGGUGCCCCCGCAGCAGCCCCAAAGCCCAGAGCUGAAGGAUACGUCUUAACACCUCCCCUGGGAUGCACUUCUGACCAGCAGGGAAUGGAGAGACUGUUGAGCAUCAACCCAGCUUGACUGGUGGGGCCUGGAGUUUGCUGGGUUUUCCUGGGUGCUAUGCAGCAAGAAUGUCUUGUGUUCCUUGGAGCGGGGGAGUAGAGGAACUUCCCAGGGGGAAUAAGCAACCACGCAUUUGGCAAAGCUGGGGAAAACCCCUGCAGGGAAACGUUUCUUUGCUGGCUUUUAAGGACACGACUUAGGAACCAAGGGUGUUUGUUUGGGGAUAUUUUCUCAUCUUCACACCCGAACAGCUGAGCGGUGCUGCCGCCCGCGAUGUCUCCAUGCUAGGAUCGUGACAAGCAACCAAGGGUUGUUCUUAGCUGAGUACGUUUGUUCACUGUGAUGUUCUGGGGCACAAUUUCCUUGUCUUUUCUUUUGUGAUAGAUGAUCCAGUAUCCUUAUUCAGGCCUUCUGAGAAGCCUGGGGCAAAUGGCACAGUGCGGGCCGUAGCACAUUCUCCUCUCUGGCACCCAAAGGUGAAGCCCUUGUCUGGCAAACAGAGCGAAUCCCUUCCCAGGCUGGGUCCUGCUUAUGCCGGGACCCAGUGUGACCCUUGCUACUUGUGGGAUAAAGGUACUUGGAGCCCUGGCUCCCUUUAAGUUUCACCAAAGUCUCAAAGCAGCCAGCAGCCCACACCGGGGCGUAAGUGACACCAAUCCACGUAGCUUAGCCCCCUAGGCUUGCCUGGACUGCCCCCCAAGCAGCACCCCUGCCCCGGUUGUGGGCAUACUGUGCACAGCUACCUCCCCCACGAUUGGCCUUCAGGAGCCCCCAGCCAUGGCUGCCACCUGAGCUAAUCAGGAGCAUCCAGCCCUCGGGAUGAGACACUGAGAAGGGCUGUCAGUGGGUUUCACAGCAAACCCCAGAGGGGGCCGCCCUACACCACAGCAGAGAACUCAGGCCUAGGAUUUUGCUCCCUAAACACUGGCAUUGUCUAAUUGGCAGCACACUGCCCUCUGCAGGGGGAUUGGUGUGUUACACAGGCCCAAAUUCACAUCCCUUACCAGCCAAGCGGUACAAGGCGCUACUCAGGUUUGCGGGGGAUUUAAUGUUUGCUUUUCACUACAGGCAUAGAGGGACUCCUCCCGUGCCUGGAUCCUCCCUGCCCCCGAGAGGAGGAAAAUAUAAAGGAAACCUAGUGGAUUGGCUCAGAUAUACUGUGGCACUUCAGCGAGUGCUGCCGUGGUCACACGGGGCAGGGUUCUGAAUUGAUAAGCUCCCUCCUGCCCUCUUGCAAUGGUCCCCUCCAGAGGGGCGCUCUGGGACAGAGACCCCUGGUUUCCUGCUCCACAUGGCCUCUCUCUUACUGUUUCAUUUGUAUUGCAGGGGUACCUAGAAGCCCCUGUCAUGGGCCCAGGCCCCACUGGGCUGGGUACUGUGCAGACACAGCGGAGACGCUCCCAGCCCUGACGAUCGGGUGCGCAAAGGGCCGUGCCCCUGGCUGCAUGAAGGCUCAUGCUGGCUUUUGCCCCAGCACUCACUGUGGCCACCUGGCUGGCUGGAGGGAGACAAGCACUAUGCAUCCACCAGGACUCACUGCCACUGGCCUCGCGUCCAGCCUUGGGCACACAGGAGCCAGGAGAAUAGCCAUAGGCAUGGGAGGACUCUGCAAUGAUUCCCUCGAGGGAAUUAGUUUAGAUUCAGGCUUUCCCCUCCCACUUGUGUCCCUGGGCUCUCUAACUCCUCCUUAAAGUGGGCACCCAGUGCCUGUGCUGCCAGCCCCUCCACGGUUGCCUCCAGCCAUAGUCUCUGGUUUGGGUGCUCAGGGCACUAGAGGCCCUUUAGGAUUUUGUUGUCCUUUCCGUGGGGGCUGGAAGCAUCACCUUCGCUGGCCU